UAAACGAUUGAUAACCCCAGGAAUUUACGUAAAUCAGCCAACAAAGUUCUUGCGAUGGAUCCACUAUCUUACAAGAAACAAGUUAGGCAGCACUCUCAAGCACCUACAUCCUUCGAAAAUAAUGGAAGUAGAGCAUAUUCCAAGCUACAAUCCGGGUGGGAACAUGCACCAACCGUAAUCUUAGGUGCCGUCAUCCGAUUUCUGUCCCUGGAGGACCGAAAAGUAUGCACGACGGUUUGUAGACGUUGGAACGAUGUCAUAUUCAAUGUUUCGCUAAACCACAGCGUAACAUUCCCCCUAGCCAAAUGGAAACCAGGCAGUUCCUACGUACUGUUUAGCGGAUUCCUUCCAAGCCUCCAACGUUCCUACAGAAGUGUAGAAAUUUCAUGGAUCAACCACCCGGACGUACAGUAUCUGUUUGCAAUCAACAAAAUGUUCGAAGUGCUUCCAAAAUAUUCACUUCAAAAGCUCACUAUAAACGCUACACCGGACGAAACGCUUGGGGAAUUUUUCGAACUUCACCGAUCAGUAUUAAAUCAUAUUAGAGAGCUACAUAUGUACAUUGGAUCGCCGUUUAAUCAAUAUACGCUUCCAGCGGAUGAUGCUCCUCUUGGUAUCAGACGAUGUUUCCUCAACAUGCACGCAUUGGAGUGUCUAGAAUGGACAGAGGCUUCUCUCGGCAACAUCAGCCAUGGAAGACAAUACUUUAUGAUAGAUGCACCUGUGUUAAUUUACACGAAAAUUCAAACCCUACGGAAUUGGAACUGUUACACUGUUCUCACAAUCAAACAUUGUUCAAAACUGAAAAACGUCAUGCUGGAUCUACCGAACAGAAUUUGGCGCACCUUUCAAUGUAAUUCAUUUGAGAAUCUUAACACUCUUAACUUAACAACCGUAUCGACUGCGAUUGUAAUCGAAAAUAUUCCUCCCAUACAAUUCGAUCAACUGUUUGGCUCAAUGAAAAAGCUAGAAGCCAUAAAGAUAACUGGCGUCGAAGAUGCCGCCUUGUUAGCCGUUUGCCGAAACUGUCCGCUAAUCUGGUCGAUUGAACUAAGCCUGUUCUGUGUUAAUUUCAACUGUUUUGCUAAGUUGGCAGGCUUGAAGAAGCUUAAGAACAUAAAUCUAGCCGUUGGGAAGAUCAUCGGCUGCAAAGGUAGAAUACUAUGCGAGUCUUUACAAACGCUUCGGCUACACGACGUGGCACUAAUCAACGGAGAAUAUAAGGGGUUUCCAUUGAAGCUGAACGAUAGCAUGAAAAGUAAGUUGCUAUAUUCGAAGCAAAAUGACGUAAUAAUCUGUAACUAUUCUAUAAAUUAGAAUUCAUGUGUAGUGAUAGUAUCACCAAAAAUGAUGGAAUAUACGAUGAACGAUAUCUGUGCUGUUUGACAUGAA